rnacentral:rRNA from 1 species
GAUAAACGCUGGCGGCGUGCUUCAGGCAUGCAAGUCGAACGGACCUUCGGGUCAGUGGCGGACGGGUGAGUAACACGUAAGCAACCUGCCCAGAAGUGGGGAAUAACCCACCGAAAGGUGAGCUAAUACCGCAUGUGAUGUGCCUUCCCUGGAGGGCUCAUUAAAGGCUUCGGUCGCUUCUGGAGGGGCUUGCGUUCGAUUAGCUAGUUGGUGGGGUAAUGGCCUACCAAGGCUGCGAUCGAUAGCUGGUCUGAGAGGACGGACAGCCACACGGGGACUGAGAUACGGCCCCGACUCCUACGGGAGGCAG